AUUGAACGCUGGCGGAAUGCUUUACACAUGCAAGUCGAACGCGAAAGGGAUCUUCGGAUCCCCAGUAGAGUGGCGCACGGGUGAGUAACGCGUAAAUAAUCUACCCUGAUGUCUGGAAUAAUUAGCCGAAAGGCUGACUAAUACGGGAUACAUGCUUAGCUGUUGGGUUAAGCAGGAAAGGUGGCCUCUAUUUAUAAGCUAUCGCAUUGGGAUGAGUUUGCGUACCAUUAGCUAGUUGGUGGGGUAAGAGCCCACCAAGGCGACGAUGGUUAGCGGGUCUGAGAGGAUGAUCCGCCACACUGGCACUGGAACACGGGCCAGACUCCUACGGGAGGCAGCAGUGAGGAAUAUUGCGCAAUGGGGGCAACCCUGACGCAGCGACGCCGCGUGAGUGAGGAAGGCCUUCGGGUCGUAAAGCUCUGUCAGCAGGGAAGAAGUGCAUGAUGGCUAAUAUCCAUUGUGUUUGACGGUACCUGCAAAGGAAGCACCGGCUAACUCCGUGCCAGCCGCCGCUGUAA
rnacentral:rRNA from 1 species